GGGGAUUUAGCUCAGUGGUAGAGCGCUUGUCUAGCAAGCGCAAGGCCCUGGGUUCGAUCCUCAGCUCUGAAAAAAAAAACAAAACUCUUCUUCAAGGGACCUGGGUUCGAUUCCCGGCAGCCACA
rnacentral:tRNA from 1 species